GAGGUGGCCAUGGGCUCCUCCCGCCCCCGCGUGGGCUCCCUCCCCUCCCCUGCUCUCCUCUUGGGGGAGGUCCGACUCACAUGCUGCCAGUGCACACGUCUGACCUUUCCAAGUUCCUUAGGUGACCCUGCGACUGGGUGUGACCAGAGGGAGGACUGGACGCCCUGGGCUUCCUCCUGCGGGCGGCCCGGUCACUUCCCCACUGCCUUCCUGGCCUCUAUUCCCAGGACGUCACCCCUGCGAGGAGGCCUCUUCAGCCGCCUCUGCCUGCACCGCGCCUGCACGUCUGGGGCCCUCCAGGCGGGGAAGGGUUAACCCGCCUGCUGUGUGCAUUUCUCCUCUCUGCGCUUUCUUCUUCUGCCCGCGGCCCCCUGCCGCGCGCCAGCCUGCGCCUCUGCCGGCGCCAUCAAUUUUUCAGCGCUUCCCUCAUUGCUCAUUACAGUCAGGCCCGCGCCCCGCGCCCCGCGCCCCGCGCCCCGCCUCGUCCUGCCGAGCCCCCGGCUCAGCCUGCAGCAUGCACCGAGGCUCCCACCAUGAUUCCUCAGGAUGCCAUGGCCGGCUUAGCUGAGAAGCACAGGGCGGGGACCUGAGCCUCCGACAGAGCGCAGGCCGACAGGACCCAGACAGUGCCUGCACUUUGCACCUUGAAGAACAACAGAGCUGAGCCCGAAGCUGUUGCACGGGCGGCUGGGGUGGCCGCCUCCUCCGGCCUCUGCCCUCGGAGGAGCGCAGAUGUUUCCGGUCCGGGUCAUCUGUGGUCUCCCUUCCCACGCUGUUCCCUCCGAGUGCGCACUGUUCCGUUCCCUGCCUCUUAUCCACUCAUCCUGAAAGCUCUUCUGGGAGCGGAGCGGGGGACCUGCAAACCUAUUCCACCGCGGGAGCCUUAGGCUCCUGCGUCAGCUUCCGGCACCCGAGGCCCUGCCUGUGACAGCCCCUGGGACGGCCCUCAGGGCCAGAUGGUGCCUUGUCCGCUGUGACCAUGGUUUGACGGCCGCUGUGAUAUCCCAGGCUCGCUGCAGUUUUGUGAAUGCCAGUCAGGGCACGUGGGCAAUGCCAGUCAGGGCACGUGGGCCGCUGUCUGGGGCUCAGGUGCUGGGUGACCCUCUCACUCUGUGGUCUGAUGUCCUGUGAUGUUUAAGCCCAUUUGAGGACCUUUGCCAUAGCUUUCUUCUCUCUGCUUGGGUUUUUCACAGGUUGUUGCAAUGGUCGAUCGGGCUCAAGUUCAGAUUUCAGGCUGUGCAGGAUUUCCAUCCUUUUUUGUCUUUUAAAAUUAAGCUGCUUCUCCUUUUGCUCACCAUAUGGCUCAGAGGAGCAGCCGCUGCAGAGGGGAGGAGGAAAGUGGCAGAGCCCGAGCCACGCGGUGCCCUCCAUGGGCCUGGCGGCUUCGGCACCUUCCUUAGAGCAGAGUCGGGCUGCGCGGGACCCCGAUAGCCUGCCAGGCCCUGCCCUACUGAGCCCCCACUUCCGCAGCCGGGAGGUCUCGUGUUCAGCAGGUUCUCAAAGCAGGGUCCUUGGCAUUAGCUCACCGGGACUGGAGAUGAGACGGCAGCAGCCCCUCCCCUAAAGGCAAACGCACAGGCUUUCCCAUGGCCUUUUCCGUCUGUUUCACUUAAUAGAGUUUUUCUUCUCCUUUCCCUUUUAAAAAGUAACACAGUGGUGUGGGGAGGCUGUCUGUGAACAGGGGAACCGCCGCCUGCCCCCGUCUCAGGGACGCCUGUGUCCCGCAGGCCUCGGCGUGUCUGUGUGCGUGCCCCUGGUACGUGCAUGUGCAGUCUCUGUGCAGCCACACGUGCAGCGUCCGGCACACCCUGCUCUUCCGGCCUCCUUCUCUAUGCAGAUGCCCUGGCUGUGGCCCCUGCGGCACUGCCAUCGUCCUGAGCUUCCUGCAGCACACACCCCGUGCACAUGGGGUAGCACACGCCGUGGUCUCGAGCGAAGCUGCGUCUGCUCCUAACCGGAAUCUUUCUCUCCUCAGAUUUUAGGAACAUGGCCCAGAAAAUCUGCAGCAGCCUUUGGGGACAGAGACACAGUCCAUAUUUUUUAGGUUCACUUUUAGCCAUAGGGUAGCCUGUUCCCGUUGGGGGCUCCCAAAGCAGGGAUCUCAUGGGAGCUACUUACUGGGGGGACCUGGAAGUAGAAGUGGGAGGCAAAAUGAGACAGAAGAAAAGGCAGCCAUGGAGGGGGUAUUAUGAGGCUGUCAGCACCAUGGGCCAGCGGGGUUAAGCUCCCUGGGCACUGAGGGGAGCAGGUGUAGAGCCCGCCUUUGAGUUACCACCCGGGAAGGUGGGAGCCGGAGAGGCUGCUCGGUGGCAGGAAAUGGGGAGCUCAUCCCUCUGCACUUCUGCUCUUCCUUAGGGGGCAGAGAAGGCCUCCACCCAAAAGAGGAAGGUACCAGGAGUGGGGUUGGCAGCUGUGUGCUGAGGCAGUGAGGAAAGGGCAGGGUGGUGCCCCACUGGCACCUGCUGCACCGCUGGGGGCCAGUGCCCCAGAUUCAUGCCCACUCUCAGGAACAGCAGUAGAUGCACCCGGCGUGAGGAGCCCGAGGGCAGAUCCCAUCCCCAGCUCUUUCCUGUGGACUGGUGGCCUGGAAAGGAUGGACUCACCAGGCAUUUAUACUCUAUUUCCUCACCUACCUCAGGAUGGCUUUGAGGGUUUAAUGAGAAUUUCUGGUUUGGGAACAGGUCUUCACAGUACCAUGUGACCACCAGGGACCACCACGACAGCCACCCCUUCACCUGAUGUGUGCGCAGGGGCCUGUCGGGAGCUCACCAGUCUCAGCAGCACCGAACCUCCCUGCCCAAAGUCAUGCACGUCACUGUGGUGCACGAACUUAACCUGUUCCUCUAUUCUGGAAAAGGCCAUGUUUGUGCUUGUCACCCCACGCAGAGUUCACAAACAAAACCAAAAUUUUGCCAAACACUUCGUUUGUAAACCAAAUUGUUUGUGAGCUGAGGUACCACUGUAUUCUCUAAAAACACUGAAAGUCAAAUUCAGAGCAGUCUAAAUGGCACUAAAAUGCCAACGCGAAGAGGAAAAGUGAUUCUGGGAAAUCUUUCAUUGCAGGAGCAGCACGUCCUCCAACCCUGCAGUACCAGGCCCACCAUCUUUAUUUUUCUGAGCAGCCUGAAUUUUGGAGUAAGAAAGAGACUUCAACUGCGUUCGGUUCACUGUUUCACGCACUUUUAGCCUCAGAGCCUAUUCUUUAAUGAGAGCGGUCCUCAGGCUUGUAAAACAAAAGCAGAGUACUCCUCAGGUGGAAUUUGGUGGGGGCCAGGCCCUCCCUUGGGGUCUGCACACCCACCUCCAACAGCUUCACCCCUGGCAGGCCGUGAGGGUGCAGCUUGGCAAACAACUGGUCUGGUUGCUUCAUCUUCAGUGGACAAAGGAAGAGACAGUACCCACUGACACACCAUGCAGGGCCGCUGUAAAUGGGUCCAGGGAAUGUAGGCAAAGCACUUUGGGAGGAAGACAGCACCCAGAGGGGGCUCCAGGGCCCUGUCUCAGAGAGGGUGAAGCCGUGGAGACCCAGCCCUCUUUCCCAGAGUUGUACCCAGAUUUGUCUUUGACACCCUUUCCCUCCACCCUGAGCCCUCCUCUGAGCCCCGGCCUGGCCCUGUGUGCACGGUCGGUUCCCUGGCCGUCUAGACGGCCUGCCCUGCCUGUGGGCUCUGCUGUCAGCCGCAGAGCCUGACGGGGAUUCUGGCUUGCUUUGUGUUCGUUAGUGUUUGUCUGUGGAGUUGGGUGUGCCCAUGUUUGCCGCAUAUGUAUUUAUAAUAGUCAUCUCUUCCUGUUGAAUUGUUCCCUUAACCAAUAUGUAAUGACCU